UACGUAGGGGGCAAGCGUUGUCCGGAAUCACUGGGCGUAAAGCGCGCGCAGGCGGUCAUCUACGUCUGGGGUGAAAGCCCGGAGCUCAACUCCGGGAUUGCCUUGGAUACGGGAUGACUUGAGGAUCGGAGAGGCAAGGGGAAUUCCACGUGUAGCGGUGAAAUGCGUAGAGAUGUGGAGGAACACCUGUGGCGAAGGCGCCUUGCUGGCCGAUUUCUGACGCUGAGGCGCGACAGCGUGGGGAGCAAACAGG
rnacentral:rRNA from 1 species